UUAGACGCUGGCGGCAGGCCUAACACAUGCAAGUCGAGCGGAUGAAGAGAGCUUGCUCUCUGAUUCAGCGGCGGACGGGUGAGUAAUGCCUAGGAAUCUGCCUGGUAGUGGGGGACAACGUUUCGAAAGGAACGCUAAUACCGCAUACGUCCUACGGGAGAAAGCAGGGGACCUUCGGGCCUUGCGCUAUCAGAUGAGCCUAGGUCGGAUUAGCUAGUUGGUGAGGUAAUGGCUCACCAAGGCGACGAUCCGUAACUGGUCUGAGAGGAUGAUCAGUCACACUGGAACUGAGACACGGUCCAGACUCCUACGGGAGGCAGCAGUGGGGAAUAUUGGACAAUGGGCGAAAGCCUGAUCCAGCCAUGCCGCGUGUGUGAAGAAGGUCUUCGGAUUGUAAAGCACUUUAAGUUGGGAGGAAGGGCAUUAACCUAAUACGUUAGUGUUUUGACGUUACCGACAGAAUAAGCACCGGCUAACUCUGUGCCAGCCGCCGCGGUAAUACA
rnacentral:rRNA from 1 species